AACGAACGCUGGCGGCAUGCCUAACACAUGCAAGUCGAACGAGACCUUCGGGUCUAGUGGCGCACGGGUGCGUAACGCGUGGGAACCUGCCCUUAGGUUCGGAAUAACUCCCCGAAAGAGGUGCUAAUACCGGAUAAUGUCUUCGGACCAAAGAUUUAUCGCCUUUGGAUGGGCCCGCGUUGGAUUAGCUAGUUGGUAGGGUAAAAGCCUACCAAGGCGACAAUCCAUAGCUGGUCUGAGAGGAUGAUCAGCCACACUGGGACUGAGACACGGCCCAGACUCCUACGGGAGGCAGCAGUGGGGAAUAUUGGACAAUGGGCGAAAGCCUGAUCCAGCAAUGCCGCGUGAGUGAUGAAGGCCUUAGGGUUGUAAAGCUCUUUUACCCGGGAUGAUAAUGACAGUACCGGGAGAAUAAGCUCCGGCUAACUCCGUG
rnacentral:rRNA from 1 species